GGGUCAGUAGGCUGGUCGUGCCACCGGUACGUACUGGUCUCACUGAUUCCUCCUUCCUGAAUAACCGUAAUGCCAUUAAUUUGGUGUUGCGGGGAAACAUGACUGUUACUUUGAAAAAAUUAGAGUGUUUAAAGCAAGCUACGCUUGAAUACAUUAGCAUGGAAUAAUGAAAUAGGACGAUCGAUCCUAUUUUGUUGGUUUCUAGGAUUGACGUA
rnacentral:rRNA from 1 species